rnacentral:rRNA from 1 species
UACCCUUCUCUAAGGAAUAGCCACUGGAAACGGUGAGUAAUACCUUAUACGCCCUUCGGGGGAAAGAUUUAUCGGAGAUGGAUUGGCCCGCGUUAGAUUAGAUAGUUGGUGGGGUAACGGCCUACCAAGUCUACGAUCUAUAGCUGGUUUUAGAGGAUGAUCAGCAACACUGGGACUGAGACACGGCCCAGACUCCUACGGGAGGCAGCAGUGGGGAAUCUUAGACAAUGGGCGAAAGCCUGAUCUAGCGAUGCCGCGUGAGUGAUGAAGGCCUUAGGGUCGUAAAGCUCUUUCGCCAGGGAUGAUAAUGACAGUACCUGGUAAAGAAACCCCGGCUAACUCCGUGCCAGCAGCCGCGGUAAUACGGAGGGGGUUAGCGUUGUUCGGAAUUACUGGGCGUAAAGCGCACGUAGGCGGACUAUUAAGUGAGGGGUGAAAUCCCAGGGCUCAACCCUGGAACUGCCUCUCAUACUGGUAGUCUUGAGUUCGAGAGAGGUGAGUGGAAUUCCGAGUGUAGAGGUGAAAUUCGUAGAUAUUCGGAGGAACACCAGUGGCGAAGGCGGCUCACUGGCUCGAUACUGACGCUGAGGUGCGAAAGUGUGGGGAGCAAACAGGAUUA